UGGCCCGUGGUGUAAUGGUAGCACAAGGGUUUUUGGUACCCUUGGUCCAGGUUCGAAUCCUGGCGGGCUAG
rnacentral:tRNA from 1 species